rnacentral:tRNA from 1 species
GCGGUGGUUCAGUGGUAGAACUCUCCUCUCCCACGGUGGAAACCUGGAUUCAAUUCCCAGCCAGUGCA